rnacentral:misc_RNA from 1 species
CAACCCCUGUGAACAUACCUAUACGUUGCCUCGGCGGAUCAGCCCGCGCCCCGUAAAAAGGGACGGCCCGCCCGAGGACCCCUAAACUCUGUUUUUAGUGGAACUUCUGAGUAAAACAAACAAAUAAAUCAAAACUUUCAACAACGGAUCUCUUGGUUCUGGCAUCGAUGAAGAACGCAGCAAAAUGCGAUAAGUAAUGUGAAUUGCAGAAUUCAGUGAAUCAUCGAAUCUUUGAACGCACAUUGCGCCCGCCAGUAUUCUGGCGGGCAUGCCUGUUCGAGCGUCAUUUCAACCCUCAAGCUCAGCUUGGUGUUGGGACUCGCGGUAACCCGCGUUCCCCAAAUCGAUUGGCGGUCACGUCGAGCUUCCAUAGCGUAGUAAUCAUACACCUCGUUACUGGUAAUCGUCGCGGCCACGCCGUAAAACCCCAACUUCUGAAUGUUGACCUCGGAUCAGGUAGGAAUACCCGCUGAACUUAAGCAUGACCUCGGAUCANGNNNA